UGCUGGUGGCUUCGCAAUUGUACUCUGCGAACCCCGCCAGGACCGGAAGGUAGCAACGGUAGUGGAAAUAUGAUGUGCCGAGGUAUUGCUAGUAGGG
rnacentral:SRP_RNA from 1 species